UUUGGAUUAAUACCCCAUAGUAUAAUGAAGUGGCAUCACUUUAUUAUUAAAGAUUUAUCACUCGAAGAUGGCUGUGCGGCUGAUUAGGUAGUUGGCGGGGUAAAGCCCACCAAGCCUGCGAUCAGUAACUGGUGUGAGAGCACGACCCAGUCACACGGGCACUGAGACACGGGCCCGACUCCUACGGGAGGCAGCAGUUAAGGAAUAUUGGUCAAUGGAGGCAACUCUGAACCAACCAUGCCGCGUGGAGGAUGAAGGUCCUCUGGAUUGUAAACUUCUUUUAUAUGGGACGAAAAAAGGCUUUUCUAAGCCGUCUGACGGUACCAUAUGAAUAAGCACCGGCUAACUCCGUG
rnacentral:rRNA from 1 species